rnacentral:rRNA from 1 species
UGGGGAAUUUUGGACAAUGGGCGAAAGCCUGAUCCAGCAAUGCCGCGUGUGUGAAGAAGGCCUUCGGGUUGUAAAGCACUUUUGUCCGGAAAGAAAUCCUUGGCUCUAAUACAGUCGGGGGAUGACGGUACCGGAAGAAUAAGCACCGGCUAACUACGUGCCAGCAGCCGCGGUAAUACGUAGGGUGCAAGCGUUAAUCGGAAUUACUGGGCGUAAAGCGUGCGCAGGCGGUUUGCUAAGACCGAUGUGAAAUCCCCGGGCUCAACCUGGGAACUGCAUUGGUGACUGGCAGGCUAGAGUAUGGCAGAGGGGGGUAGAAUUCCACGUGUAGCAGUGAAAUGCGUAGAGAUGUGGAGGAAUACCGAUGGCGAAGGCAGCCCCCUGGGCCAAUACUGACGCUCAUGCACGAAAGCGUGGGGAGCAAACAGGAUUAGAUACCCUGGUAGUCCACGCCCUAAACGAUGUCAACUAGUUGUUGGGGAUUCAUUCUUAGUAACGUAGCUAACGCGUGAAGUUGACCGCCUGGGGAGUACGGUCGCAAGAUUAAAACUCAAAUGAAUUGACGGGGUCAUAGCUGUUUCCU